AUGGCGAACAUGGAUAUGGAUAGAUCGAGUAACGGUGAGUACAAGUAUCAAAGAGACGAGGACGCCGACGUUAAGCCUAGGAUGCUGGAGGAAUCCGAUGUAAAGGAACAUCAAAUUGACAAGGUCGGAGAAUACGUGCGUGAGCUUUUACAGGAAAAAAUAGAGCUCGACACUCAAAAAUGGCCCAAUUCAAUCCGGUUGCUCGAUCAAGAAAUUCAAAAAACACAAGCUAUUGGAAAACCAUUGAGAGAUCCAAAAUAUGUGGAUAUUUAUCGUGAAAAACCAGUUCGCAUUUCUGUCAAAGUUUUGGUACCUAUUCGUGAACAUCCCAAGUUUAAUUUUGUGGGAAAAUUGCUGGGGCCAAAAGGCAAUUCCAUGAAACGUCUGCAAGAAGAAACAAUGUGCAAGAUGGCAGUGUUGGGUAGAGGGUCGAUGAAGGACAGGCAAAAGGAAGAAGAGUGUCGCGCUUCUUUGGAUCCAAAAUACGCGCAUCUUUCUGACGACUUGCAUGUAGAGAUCACGGCUAUAGCACCGCCAGCAGAGGCCUAUGCUCGCAUUGCCUUUGCGCUAGCCGAAGUGCGGAAAUAUUUGAUUCCCGAUAACAACGACAACAUACGUCAAGAGCAAAUGCGUGAAAUGGAGAUGAAUAUCUCUGAUGAUCCAGUUUCAGAUGAUCGAAGACCUUCUAUGAGGGGUGCUACAGGUCCUGCUAGUGGUAUACUUAGAUCCACUACGAGACCGACGAUGUCUAGAACGUCUAGAGCUAUUCUUCCACCACCACCCGCAAACCGCGGGCCACUUUCUCGACCUGUCCCGCCCAAAUCAAAGGUAUUCUCAAUCUUGGAUCGUGCAAGAGCUGCUAUGGAUCAAAGUUACGGUUACGAAACUCCGACGCCUCCGCCUCCGACCAAUCGUGCUGGAUCGCAUCAUGAUUAUGAUUAUCAUGGAUCAAUGUCCAGUACUGCUCGAUAUGGCGAUCGUCAUUAUACAUCUGGCAGUUCUGGGUACACCACGUAUGAAUAUGAGGACGACUCGGCGCCGCAUUCCUCGCAUGAUUAUUACGAAUCUUCGGAUUAUCCAGGUAGAUAAAGAUUAUGAAUAUUUCGGAAUCACGUUCUUGGUUCCAUGGAGUGAGAUAUUUUUGGUUCCACCAAUUAUGAUGGAGUUAAUCAUGAAUAAAGUUUAAAGAUGAUAACGUUGCAUAGAAAUGGAUAAGCAAUAUCCCUGGGAGUAUAAUUUGUGGAUGAUAAUUAUAGAAUAUGAACUUAUACACACACACGCACACACAGAGGGUGUCCCACGUAAAGUAUUACAACUCUAAAAAUAUUUGUCUUAUCAAAAAGUUGUUCAU
rnacentral:misc_RNA from 1 species